rnacentral:rRNA from 1 species
UACGUAGGUGGCAAGCGUUAUCCGGAAUUAUUGGGCGUAAAGCGCGCGCAGGCGGUUUCUUAAGUCUGAUGUGAAAGCCCACGGCUCAACCGUGGAGGGUCAUUGGAAACUGGGAAACUUGAGUGCAGAAGAGAAGAGUGGAAUUCCACGUGUAGCGGUGAAAUGCGUAGAGAUGUGGAGGAACACCAGUGGCGAAGGCGACUCUUUGGUCUGUAACUGACGCUGAGGCGCGAAAGCGUGGGGAGCGAACAGG